CUAACUAGAUGAUUUUAGCCUCCUCGGUAGUGUAUGCAGCCUGUUGCCUAUACGGGUUGCCCUAAGGGACCUUGGAGACAGCC
rnacentral:snoRNA from 1 species